UACGUAGGGAGCAAGCGUUGUCCGGAAUCAUUGGGCGUAAAGCGCGCGUAGGUGGCCCCGUAAGUCCGUUGUGAAAGUCAAAGGCUCAACCUUUGAAAGCCGAUGGAUACUGCAGGGCUAGAGUACGGAAGAGGCGAGUGGAAUUCCUGGUGUAGCGGUGGAAUGCGCAGAUAUCAGGAGGAACACCAAUAGCGAAGGCAGCUCGCUGGGACGUUACUGACACUGAGGCGCGAAAGCGUGGGGAGCGAACAGG
rnacentral:rRNA from 1 species